rnacentral:rRNA from 1 species
UACGUAGGGUGCGAGCGUUGUCCGGAAUUACUGGGCGUAAAGAGCUCGUAGGUGGUUUUGUCGCGUUGUUCGUGAAAACUCACAGCUUAACUGUGGGCGUGCGGGCGAUACGGGCAGACUGGAGUACUGCAGGGGAGACUGGAAUUCCUGGUGUAGCGGUGGAAUGCGCAGAUAUCAGGAGGAACACCGGUGGCGAAGGCGGCUUCUUGGGCCGUUACUGACGCUGAGGCGCGAAAGCCAGGGGAGCGAACGGG